rnacentral:rRNA from 1 species
CCCCAAGGUAAGGAAUAACGUCGAGAAAUCGGCGCUAAUACCUCAUAAUGCAGCGGAUCCGCAUGGAUAUGUUGUUAAAGGUUUACCGCCUUGGGAUAGGCUUGCGUCUGAUUAGCUAGUUGGUGUGGUAACGGCACACCAAGGCUACGAUCAGUAACUGGUCUGAGAGGAUGAUCAGUCACACUGGAACUGAGACACGGUCCAGACUCCUACGGGAGGCAGCAGUGAGGAAUAUUGGGCAAUGCUCGAAAGAGUGACCCAGCAACGCCGCGUGGAGGAUGAAGGUAUUCUAUAUCGUAAACUCCUGUGAGAGCAGACGAAAGACAGAUUAUUAAUCUGGAUGACUGUAUGCUCAGAGGAAGCCCCGGCUAACUACGUG